CGUGUAGGCGGUCUGUUAAGUCUGAUGUGAAAUCCCCUCGCUCAACGAGGGAACUGCGUCGGAUACUGGCAGACUUGAGUACCGGAGAGGAAGGUGGAAUUCCCGGUGUAGCGGUGAAAUGCGUAGAUAUCGGGAAGAACACCGGUGGCGAAGGCGGCCUUCUGGACGGGUACUGACGCUGAGACGCGAAAGCGUGGGGAGCAAACA
rnacentral:rRNA from 1 species